AGAAUCAGUUUCGGGGACCCUGUGAACGAGUUGACUCCAGGUGUUCCAGAGUCGUCUUCCAAGUCAUCCGAGUCGACUCCUAGUUUGGCCGAGUCGACUCGUGAGAGAAAUACAGAAAGUUGGAUUUCUGGAACCCUGAGAACGAGCCGACCCCGAAGUGCCCGAGUCGUCUCCAGCUGUUGAUGAGUCGACUCCAGUUUGGUCCGAGUCAACCCCAAGACAAGGCAUGCACUUUAAUUCAAAUUUGGAACAUUGGCCAAGUCAUCUCUAGUAAAGUGCGAGUCAACACCAGUAACAGCCGAGUCGACUCCAGAUCGCGCGAGCCGACUCCGAUCCUAACGGAUACAUUGUCAGAAUGUGCAGAUGGAUCAGAACAGCUCUUAUCUCCUCUCUAAUGGCUAUUUUUCGAAGGAAAUCACUUAAAUAGCUAGACUGAACAGUAGUAGACAAGAAGAGAGUUAUUCCAUUUGAGCAUUAAAGAUUUUCAACCAUCAAAAGCUUCUCAAGAUUGAAUCCAAGUAAGAGAAGGGAGAAGUGCAUUCACCUCAAAC
rnacentral:lncRNA from 1 species